AUAGGAUAUGGCUUCAGACAACAGUGUCACAUCUACUCCAAUGUCUGCCUUCGAGGCUGUACAAGAUGUAAAUGAGAGGGGAUGAGUCGAUGGAAUUACUAGUGGGGAUGGUAGAACGAAUGGGACGCUCUAUUGGGGAGAGCAUUGCUUCAUGUUUAGAAUCUAAAGUGUGCAGUCCAAGUAGUGCAGACUCAUCUGUUUUGAACAGAGUUCUAAAAUCAGAAAUCAAGGAACCUGUUUGUUUCAGGGGUGAUCGGGCUGAGCCAUACAAUAUACAUGAGUGGGAAACCAUAGUGCUGUCAUAUUUGCGCAAAAUAGGGACGCCAAUCGAAGAACAAGCUGAUGAAGUUAUUAGUAGGCUUUUGGGGCGGGCUCGUGAAGUUGUGAGGGUGGGCCUGCGUAGUAACCCUUCCAUUGAUCUGUGCAAAGGCCCGAGUCCUAUUUUUGAUUUGUUGAAACAACAUUUCAGUGACACAGCUUUUUCUAGCAUGCCAUUGGCUGAUUUUUAUGGCACACUUCCACACGCUGGUGAGGAUCCCUUUGAUUAUUGGCUGAGGCUGAAUAGGGCCAUGGAUAUGGCUGAGGACUGUCUAAAAAGACAGGACAAGAAAAUUGGCAAUCUAUCCCAUGAGCUCACUGUAAUGUUUAUCAGAUAUUGUCCUGACCCUGAGCUUUCCCUUAUAUUCAAAUGCAGACCUUCGGAACAAUGGACGGCAGCUGAUGUUCAUGCACGUUUGGAGGAGUAUGGUAGAGAGAGACGAUGUGGCUCUGUUUCAAGAGCGCCCCCAGCUAUUUCUCUUUUAAAACAGGAAGUUGCUGUCGCAUGUGGAGGGGGUGAGUGCGAGGCCUAAUGAUGACCCCCGAUCAUUGUUGGAUUACGAUCUGGAAUCUGUAUAUAAAAGUGUAUGUGAGGAGUAUAGUUCUCAAUGUACAGUUGUCUUUCAAAAUAUUCAGAAACUUCAGCCAUAUGAUGACCUCUUCUACACUUCAGUGAUUAUUGGUGGAAAAGUAGAGGCAAAAGCAAUGCUUGACACUGGAUCAAUGGCUUGCACCAUGAGCUCCAAGAUCUUACCUCAAUUGCUGAGUACUGGUGUGUUGUCAAACCUUUCACUUGCU
ensembl:lncRNA